GGAUCAGGUAGGGAUACCCGCUGAACUUAAGCAUAUCAUA
rnacentral:rRNA from 1 species